GCCCUUCUAAGUGGGUUUGCAGGUGCAUGCACAGAAGGAAUCAUCAAAAAACUUCCUUCAAGAAAAAUCAAUGUACAAAACUUUUGGCUGUACAUUUUUGGAAUGCUUUUCUGUGUAGUUGCUAUAUGUGUUCAGGACUGAUGCUGUCAUGAAUAAAGGCUUUUUUCAUGGGUACUCAUUCAUUAUCGUGUUGGUGAUUCUCAACCAUGCUCUCAGUGGAACUGCUGUAUCAAUGGAUCAAUGGUGAUGAGUAUGCUGACAAUAUUGUGAAGGUGUAAUCCACAUCAGUCGCGAACUCGCGAUGCUUCUCACAGCAAUUGUAUCUGUCUUCUUGUUUGGCUUUCAUCUCUCCCUUGCAUUUUUCCUCGGAUCCACGGUUGUUUCCUUCUCCGUAUAUCUGUAUGCUGUGGUGGGGAAGCCGCAGCCGCAGAGAUGAGGUUCACUUCAUCUUUCCAAGAAUCGUCAAUUGCCAGUUAAGUUUGCCACACCCAUACUGCCCAUGACGGAGAUGUUAUUUACUACUACUCUUUUGUCUCCGAGCCGACUUGCCAUGCCUGGUGAGGACCACGGGCCGACCUGACCGCAAUAUAUGUAUUGUACAAGACCACGACAUUUGCACGGGAGCUCUCAUGCUAAUCACUUAUCCAUCUCAUUAAACAGAGUCAAAAGGUAAAGAUAUGGUUCAGCAGUUUUUCUAACUCCAAAGAGUUUCUUUUUUCUUACUUCAAAUGAAGA